CAUUACUGAGUGAGGGCCCCCGGCCCGACCUCCAACCCUUUGUUAUUCAACCAUGUUGCCUCGGGGUGGCCCGGGCCUUAACUGGCUCUGGUGCCCCGGUGGACCAUUUAUCAAAACUCUGCAUCUCUGCGUCGGGUUAAAAAGUUUAAUUGAUUAAAACUUUCAACAACGGAUCUCUUGGUUCUGGCAUCGAUGAAGAACGCAGCGAAAUGCGAUAAGUAAUGUGAAUUGCAGAAUUCAGUGAAUCAUCGAGUUUUUGAACGCACACUGCGCCCCUUGGUAUUCCGGGGGGCAUGCCCGUUCGAGCGUCAUUUCACCAAUCAAGCCUGGCUUGGUAUUGGGCCACGGGGGUGACCCGGGCCUCGAAAACGUCGGCUGGAAAGCCCUGAUCUNAGCGUCGUGGUAAAUCAAUUCGUAGAGAGAAGGGUGAUUCCGUGCCGUUAAAACCCCAUCAAAGGUUGACCUCGGAUCGGGUAGGAAUACCCGCUGAACUUAAGCAUAUCAAUAAGCGGAGGAGAAGAAACCAACAGGGAUUGCCUUAGUAACGGCGAGUGAAGCGGCAACAGCUCAAAUUUGGAGUCUGGCGCAAGCCCGAGUUGUAAUUUGGAGAGGAUGCUUCUGGGUAGCGGCCGGCCUAAGUUUCUUGGAACAGAACGUCAUAGAGGGUGAGAAUCCCGUAUGCGGCUGGUAGGCACCCUCCACGUAGCUCCUUCGACGAGUCGAGUUGUUUGGGAAUGCAGCUCAAAAUGGGAGGUAAAUUUCUCCUAAGGCUAAAUAUCGGCCAGAGACCGAUAGCGCACAAGUAGAGUGAUCGAAAGAUGAAAAGCACUUUGGAAAGAGAGUUAAAAAGCACGUGAAAUUGUUGAAAGGGAAGCGCUUGCUGCCAGACUUAUUAACGGUGUUCCGCCGGUCUUCUGACCGGUCCACUCGCCGUCGGUAGGCCAACAUCAUCUGGUGCCGCCGGAGAAAGGUGUCGGGAAUGUAUCUCCCCCGGGAGUGUUAUAGCCCGUCACACAAUACGGCGCGCGCCGGGUGAGGU
rnacentral:rRNA from 1 species